GGGGAUGUAGCUCAGUGGAAGAGCGCAUGCUUCGCAUGUAUGAAGUCUUGGGUUCAAUUUCCAGCGUCUCCA
rnacentral:tRNA from 1 species